UACGUAGGGACCAAGCGUUGUUCGGAUUUACUGGGCGUAAAGGGCGCGUAGGCGGCUUAACAAGUCACUUGUGAAAUCUCCGGGCUUAACUCGGAACGGCCAAGUGAAACUGUCAAGCUAGAGUGCAGAAGGGGCAAUCGGAAUUCUUGGUGUAGCGGUGAAAUGCGUAGAUAUCAGGAAGAACACCCGUGGCGAAGGCGGUUCUCUGGGACGGUACUGACGCUGAGACGCGAAAGCGUGGGGAGCGAACAGG
rnacentral:rRNA from 1 species